rnacentral:rRNA from 1 species
CUAGGAAAUUGCCCUGAUGUGGGGGAUAACCAUUGGAAACGAUGGCUAAUACCGCAUGAUGCCUACGGGCCAAAGAGGGGGACCUUCGGGCCUCUCGCGUCAGGAUAUGCCUAGGUGGGAUUAGCUAGUUGGUGAGGUAAGGGCUCACCAAGGCGACGAUCCCUAGCUGGUCUGAGAGGAUGAUCAGCCACACUGGAACUGAGACACGGUCCAGACUCCUACGGGAGGCAGCAGUGGGGAAUAUUGCACAAUGGGCGCAAGCCUGAUGCAGCCAUGCCGCGUGUGUGAAGAAGGCCUUCGGGUUGUAAAGCACUUUCAGUCGUGAGGAAGGUAGUGUAGUUAAUAGCUGCAUUAUUUGACGUUAGCGACAGAAGAAGCACCGGCUAACUCCGUGCCAGCAGCCGCGGUAAUACGGAGGGUGCGAGCGUUAAUCGGAAUUACUGGGCGUAAAGCGCAUGCAGGUGGUUUGUUAAGUCAGAUGUGAAAGCCCGGGGCUCAACCUCGGAAUUGCAUUUGAAACUGGCAGACUAGAGUACUGUAGAGGGGGGUAGAAUUUCAGGUGUAGCGGUGAAAUGCGUAGAGAUCUGAAGGAAUACCGGUGGCGAAGGCGGCCCCCUGGACAGAUACUGACACUCAGAUGCGAAAGCGUGGGGAGCAAACAGGAUUAGAUACCCUGGUAGUCCACGCCGUAAACGAUGUCUACUUGGAGGUUGUGGCCUUGAGCCGUGGCUUUCGGAGCUAACGCGUUAAGUAGACCGCCUGGGGAGUACGGUCGCAAGAUUAAAACUCAAAUGAAUUGACGGGGGCCCGCACAAGCGGUGGAGCAUGUGGUUUAAUUCGAUGCAACGCGAAGAACCUUACCUACUCUUGACAUCCAGAGAACUUUCCAGAGAUGGAUUGGUGCCUUCGGGAACUCUGAGACAGGUGCUGCAUGGCUGUCGUCAGCUCGUGUUGUGAAAUGUUGGGUUAAGUCCCGCAACGAGCGCAACCCUUAUCCUUGUUUGCCAGCGAGUAAUGUCGGGAACUCCAGGGAGACUGCCGGUGAUAAACCGGAGGAAGGUGGGGACGACGUCAAGUCAUCAUGGCCCUUACGAGUAGGGCUACACACGUGCUACAAUGGCGCAUACAGAGGGCGGCCAACUUGCGAAAGUGAGCGAAUCCCAAAAAGUGCGUCGUAGUCCGGAUUGGAGUCUGCAACUCGACUCCAUGAAGUCGGAAUCGCUAGUAAUCGUGGAUCAGAAUGCCACGGUGAAUACGUUCCCGGGCCUUGUACACACCGCCCGUCACACCAUGGGAGUGGGCUGCAAAAGAAGUAGGUAGUUUAACC